AACGAACGCUGGCGGCAUGCUUAACACAUGCAAGUCGAACGCUUCCGGGGGUUUCGGCCCUCGGGGGAGUGGCGCACGGGUGAGUAGCGCGUGGGAACCUGCCCAGUAGUGGGGGAUAACCGAGGGAAACCUCGGCUAAUACCGCAUGCGCCCGGGGACGCUCGCAAGGGCGACGCCGGGGAAAGAUUUAUCGCUAUUGGAGGGGCCCGCGUCGGAUUAGGUAGUUGGUGGGGUAACGGCCUACCAAGCCUGUGAUCCGUAGCUGGUCUGAGAGGAUGAUCAGCCACACUGGGACUGAGACACGGACCCAAACUCCUACGGGAGGCAGCAGGUGGGGAAUAUUGGACAAUGGGACGAAAGCCUGAUCCAGCCAUGCCGCGUGAGUGAU
rnacentral:rRNA from 1 species